UGGGGAAUAUUGCACAAUGGGCGCAAGCCUGAUGCAGCAAUGCCGCGUGAGUGAAGAAGGCCCUUGGGUCGUAAAGCUCUUUCGGUUGGGAAGUAGGGUAUACUGGCUAACAUCCAGUAUAUUUGACGGUACCUAAAGAAGAAGCACCGGCUAAUUUCGUGCCAGCAGCCGCGGUAAUACGAGAGGUGCAAGCGUUGUUCGGAAUUAUUGGGCGUAAAGCGUGCGCAGGCGGGAUUGUGUGUCAAUUGUGAAAUCCCCGGGCUCAACCUGGGACGUGCAGUUGAAACUGCAAUUCUUGAAUACCUGAGAGGGUGGGGGAAUUCCUGGUGGAGAAGUGAAAUUCGUAGAGAUCAGGAGGAACAUCGGAGGCGAAGGCGCCUACCUGGCAGAGUAUUGACGCUCAUGCACGAAAGCGUGGGGAGCAAACAGG
rnacentral:rRNA from 1 species